rnacentral:rRNA from 1 species
AUUGAACGCUGGCGGCAGGCCUAACACAUGCAAGUCGGACGAGUGGCGGACGGGUGAGUAAUGUAUGGGAAACUGCCUGAUGGAGGGGGAUAACUACUGGAAACGGUAGCUAAUACCGCAUACCAUCAGAUGAACCCAUAUGGGAUUAGCUUGUUGGUAGGGUAACGGCGUACCUAGGCGACGAUCCCUAGCUGGUCUGAGAGGAUUAUCAGCCACACUGGGACUGAGACACGGCCCAGACUCCUACGGGAGGCAGCAGUGGGGAAUAUUGCACAAUGGGCGCAAGCCUGAUGCAGCCAUGCCGCGUGUAUGAAGAAGGCCUUCGGGUUGUAAAGUACUUUCAGUCGGGAGGCGUUACCGACAGAAGAAGCACCGGCUAACUCCGUGCCAGCAGCCGCGGUAAUAC